rnacentral:tRNA from 1 species
GGGGUUGUAGCUCAGUGGUAGAGCAAUUGCCAAGCAUGUGUGAGGCACUGGGUUCAAUUCUCAGCACCACUU